GGGGGUGCUGGCCAGCCUCCGGUGACCAUGGAAACAGGAUGUUCCCUCUUCUGACCGUCCAGCAGCUCUGCGUCUUUGGGCAGUUGGAGAAGGGCCGGUGCAGGCCACUGCCUCUCGGGCGCUCAGGCAAGCAGGGCUUUGCGAGCCCCAGACCUCACCAGUGGGCUGCAGGGAUGUGAAGGCUCUGUUUUUGGACUGAAGAGCAGCAGGAAGCCCUGGGUGACUUGCUCUGGAUUCCUCAGGCACCUAACGGGAUUAUCUCAGAAUCAGAGCCACUAGGGCAGUGAUUUUCAACUGCUGUGUCGUGGCAGACUGGGGUGCCACAAGAUGAUCUUAGGUGUGCUACAAAAAAUUUUAAAGACCAUUGAUUAAGUUACUUUCAAAAGAAGUUCAAAGCACAGAAUGCUCACUCACAGGGUACGCUCAUGGAGAGAGGGCCCAGAGCAAACCAUGUCACGCCAUCCAAUGACACCAGCUGGUCAGCUCACCACCCCCUCUGGCUAAAACUCAAGCAAAUAAAGCCGCUUCCUGUCAUUAAGCAUCUCAGAGGAAGCAGCCCUCCCCCGGUGGCCUCCAGCCCAGAGAAGCCAGCACAGUCUUGGACCCACCAAGCAGCCCAGCCUUCCUGCUGCCACCACCUCUGCUUCUCCCAGAGGAACUUAGGGAUCUCACCCCUGGUUUUAAAAAAACAAAACACCAACAAGCCACAAGGACCAAUGUAGGUAUUCUCCCCGCUCCAUCUUCAAGGCUCAGUGGCUGAGGCUGGAAGAUGGUAACGGAUUGGAAAACAAAAACCUUUUUGUAAUCUUUUUAAAAACUGCUGUGGUUUUGCUGCUACACUAAGAAUUGUGAUUUGCAUUGUAUGGUUUGGGACCUAUGCUGUUAAUGUUUUGACGGCGGAGAGGGAUGGUGCUGGAGUCCCAACGCUUCAGGCUCAUCUCUGCCCUGCCCAGGAUGCACUUUUAAAUGAAGAGUUAGAAUAUUUUAUUGGCUAAUAUACUUUUUCUUGUUAUUUUUACAAAGGCCACCUUUAUCCUUUUUGAUGCCAUAUUUUCAGUGUUACACUUUUAUGGCUUUUAAUUUUCGAUUUGACAGAUGUAAGAAGCAGCAUGGAUAGUUUAUACUGUGGUUUUUCAGAGACUGAAUGCCAAGAGAACUCGGUAAAUGUUUAUUCUUCUCAGCUUUCUCUUUAAAUUCCCCUAAAUAGCGCCCCAUUUGGGAACAGAGCAAGAGUGUUGAACUGAAGACCAAAAUGCCCUCAAGGUGUAAAAUAAUCCGAGGGGGAAUAUUUGCUGGGCGGCACGAAAGACUCGGAUGAAAUUUCAACCCUGAUGGUUUUUGGUGAUCCAGGAAGUCAGUGAGACAAUCUCUCUAUACGCAGAGCCCUUUCAUGAUAAUUAGAAUAGUAUGGACAAACCAAUGAAAACAAGAGGGAAAGUGAGAAAGAUCACCCAUGAUUCUGUUUCACUGUUUGCUUUCUCCUGUCAUGGUUAAGAGAAAUGUGCAAUUCGAUCCUCAAUCAGUGGGUGGAGGAUAACAGGGUAGAUUCACUUGUGUGCACUUGUACAGUUCUAGCUGCGAGUCCAGAAUCCUCUAGAGCAUGUGUCCUGGCACUGAGUUGGUGAGACAGUUGUGGAGUAUCCCAUUCUGAUGAGUACAGAAAAAAAAAAAGAGAGAAAAAAUUAAGAAAAAAAUCAAAAAAAGAAGAAAACUAAAAAAAAAAAAAUCAAAUCACCUUGUGAUUCAGUGUAUCUGUUUACUGACUCAAAUAAAGCAAUCGUUCCCUCUAGAGGGGUCCAAGUGCCCCGUCCUAGGAGGGGCCGCAGAGCCCCAGCAGGAGGGGUGGAGGGCACGGCGGGCUGGGCGGUGUCACGCGGCCUUCGAGCGCGGUGUACAUACUGUAUUUCUAUAUCCUCCUUUGUACAGAGUCACUUAACACGUCAAGCUACUGUUUUACAGGUGCUCCUUAUUUAUUAGAGCUGUGAGAGCUUCGGGGACACACCUGGCGAGCAAGCUCGCUUUUUAAAAAUGAAAUUUGGGGUCAGGGGAAGGGAGGUGGGAGGGAGGGAAAGCUCGCAAGCCCGGGGAGAGAUUUAUAAAAGUAAACAAAAGAAACACUUCCAGCAACAAAUUAAAAAAAAAAAAAAACAGAUAAACCCCAGCACCAAACCCACCCACACAGGAAGCAGCAGUCCCUCCUCUGGGUGCUUGUUUUCCUGCUGGGCUCACAACAUGCUCCUCUCUCCCUGACUGGUGACAGAUUCAUCAAACAAAAAUAAAUCUCUAAGAAAAAAAUGCACUUA